rnacentral:rRNA from 1 species
CUUUCUUUGCUGGCGACCGGCGCACGGGUGAGUAACACGUAUCCAACCUGCCCUUUGCUCGGGGAUAGCCUUUCGAAAGAAAGAUUAAUACCCGAUAGCAUAAUGAUUCCGCAUGGUUUCAUUAUUAAAGGAUUCCGGUAAAGGAUGGGGAUGCGUUCCAUUAGGUUGUUGGUGGGGUAACGGCCCACCAAGCCUUCGAUGGAUAGGGGUUCUGAGAGGAAGGUCCCCCACAUUGGAACUGAGACACGGUCCAA